rnacentral:rRNA from 1 species
AUUGAACGCUGGCGGCAGGCUUAACACAUGCAAGUCGAGCGAGUGGCGGACGGGUGAGUAAUGCUUGGGAAUCUAGCUGAUGGAGGGGGAUAACUACGGGAAACUGUAGCUAAUACCGCAUACCAUCAGAUGAGCCCAGAUGGGAUUAGGUAGUUGGUUGGGUAAAGGCUCACCAAGCCGACGAUCUCUAGCUGGUCUGAGAGGAUGACCAGCCACACUGGGACUGAGACACGGCCCAGACGCCUACGGUAGGAAGCAGUGGGGAAUAUUGCGCAAUGGGCGCAAGCCUGAUGCAGCCAUGCCGCGUGAAGGAAGAAGGCCUGCGGGUUGUAAAGUACUUUCGGUAGGGAGGCGUUACCCACAGAAGAAGCACCGGCUAACUCCGUGCCAGCAGCCGCGGUAAUUC